UGGUUUCUUUAAAAAAUAUAUAUUAUAGUCAUUGUUCUAUUUGCUUUGAUUUUCUAUCUUUAGGCGGUAUCUUUUUUAUUUAUUUUUUUGUCUUAGUGUCGUGUUUGAUUUAGGUUGAAAGAUUAAUUUUGAUCAAGUGUAAAUUCAAACAAUGAUUUUGACGUUGUCAAUAUUACAGAUCUGAAGACAUGAAUAUUCUAGAGACUUAAAUAUAAUCAUAUUUAAGGCAUAUGUAUUAUAUUGUUUUAUGCUAUUAACAUACAUUUUGUUAUUAUUUGCACAUUUAUCCCUUUUAUUUUUGGCGACUUUAAAUUUAUAUUAUAUUGAUAUACUUUAUCGAUUUGAAUAG
rnacentral:lncRNA from 1 species